rnacentral:rRNA from 1 species
ACUAUCAUUAACUGAAUCCAUAGGUUAAUGAGGCGAACCGGGGGAACUGAAACAUCUAAGUACCCCGAGGAAAAGAAAUCAACCGAGAUUCCCCCAGUAGCGGCGAGCGAACGGGGAGCAGCCCAGAGCCUGAAUCAGUGUGUGUGUUAGUGGAAGCGUCUGGAAAGGCGCGCGAUACAGGGUGACAGCCCCGUACACAAAAAUGCACAUACUGUGAGCUCGAUGAGUAGGGCGGGACACGUGGUAUCCUGUCUGAAUAUGGGGGGACCAUCCUCCAAGGCUAAAUACUCCUGACUGACCGAUAGUGAACCAGUACCGUGAGGGAAAGGCGAAAAGAACCCCGGCGAGGGGAGUGAAAAAGAACCUGAAACCGUGUACGUACAAGCAGUGGGAGCCUCUUUAUGGGGUGACUGCGUACCUUUUGUAUAAUGGGUCAGCGACUUAUAUUCUGUAGCAAGGUUAACCGAAUAGGGGAGCCGAAGGGAAACCGAGUCUUAACUGGGCGUUAAGUUGCAGGGUAUAGACCCGAAACCCGGUGAUCUAGCCAUGGGCAGGUUGAAGGUUGGGUAACACUAACUGGAGGACCGAACCGACUAAUGUUGAAAAAUUAGCGGAUGACUUGUGGCUGGGGGUGAAAGGCCAAUCAAACCGGGAGAUAGCUGGUUCUCCCCGAAAGCUAUUUAGGUAGCGCCUCGUGAAUUCAUCUCCGGGGGUAGAGCACUGUUUCGGCAAGGGGGUCAUCCCGACUUACCAACCCGAUGCAAACUGCGAAUACCGGAGAAUGUUAUCACGGGAGACACACGGCGGGUGCUAACGUCCGUCGUGAAGAGGGAAACAACCCAGACCGCCAGCUAAGGUCCCAAAGUCAUGGUUAAGUGGGAAACGAUGUGGGAAGGCCCAGACAGCCAGGAUGUUGGCUUAGAAGCAGCCAUCAUUUAAAGAAAGCGUAAUAGCUCACUGGUCGAGUCGGCCUGCGCGGAAGAUGUAACGGGGCUAAACCAUGCACCGAAGCUGCGGCAGCGACACUAUGUGUUGUUGGGUAGGGGAGCGUUCUGUAAGCCUGUGAAGGUGUGCUGUGAGGUAUGCUGGAGGUAUCAGAAGUGCGAAUGCUGACAUAAGUAACGAUAAAGCGGGUGAAAAGCCCGCUCGCCGGAAGACCAAGGGUUCCUGUCCAACGUUAAUCGGGGCAGGGUGAGUCGACCCCUAAGGCGAGGCCGAAAGGCGUAGUCGAUGGGAAACAGGUUAAUAUUCCUGUACUUGGUGUUACUGCGAAGGGGGGACGGAGAAGGCUAUGUUGGCCGGGCGACGGUUGUCCCGGUUUAAGCGUGUAGGCUGGUUUUCCAGGCAAAUCCGGAAAAUCAAGGCUGAGGCGUGAUGACGAGGCACUACGGUGCUGAAGCAACAAAUGCCCUGCUUCCAGGAAAAGCCUCUAAGCAUCAGGUAACAUCAAAUCGUACCCCAAACCGACACAGGUGGUCAGGUAGAGAAUACCAAGGCGCUUGAGAGAACUCGGGUGAAGGAACUAGGCAAAAUGGUGCCGUAACUUCGGGAGAAGGCACGCUGAUAUGUAGGUGAAGUCCCUUGCGGAUGGAGCUGAAAUCAGUCGAAGAUACCAGCUGGCUGCAACUGUUUAUUAAAAACACAGCACUGUGCAAACACGAAAGUGGACGUAUACGGUGUGACGCCUGCCCGGUGCCGGAAGGUUAAUUGAUGGGGUUAGCGGUAACGCGAAGCUCUUGAUCGAAGCCCCGGUAAACGGCGGCCGUAACUAUAACGGUCCUAAGGUAGCGAAAUUCCUUGUCGGGUAAGUUCCGACCUGCACGAAUGGCGUAAUGAUGGCCAGGCUGUCUCCACCCGAGACUCAGUGAAAUUGAACUCGCUGUGAAGAUGCAGUGUACCCGCGGCAAGACGGAAAGACCCCGUGAACCUUUACUAUAGCUUGACACUGAACAUUGAGCCUUGAUGUGUAGGAUAGGUGGGAGGCUUUGAAGUGUGGACGCCAGUCUGCAUGGAGCCGACCUUGAAAUACCACCCUUUAAUGUUUGAUGUUCUAACGUUGGCCCCUGAUCGGGGUUGCGGACAGUGUCUGGUGGGUAGUUUGACUGGGGCGGUCUCCUCCUAAAGAGUAACGGAGGAGCACGAAGGUUGGCUAAUCCUGGUCGGACAUCAGGAGGUUAGUGCAAUGGCAUAAGCCAGCUUGACUGCGAGCGUGACGGCGCGAGCAGGUGCGAAAGCAGGUCAUAGUGAUCCGGUGGUUCUGAAUGGAAGGGCCAUCGCUCAACGGAUAAAAGGUACUCCGGGGAUAACAGGCUGAUACCGCCCAAGAGUUCAUAUCGACGGCGGUGUUUGGCACCUCGAUGUCGGCUCAUCACAUCCUGGGGCUGAAGUAGGUCCCAAGGGUAUGGCUGUUCGCCAUUUAAAGUGGUACGCGAGCUGGGUUUAGAACGUCGUGAGACAGUUCGGUCCCUAUCUGCCGUGGGCGCUGGAGAACUGAGGGGGGCUGCUCCUAGUACGAGAGGACCGGAGUGGACGCAUCACUGGUGUUCGGGUUGUCAUGCCAAUGGCACUGCCCGGUAGCUAAAUGCGGAAGAGAUAAGUGCUGAAAGCAUCUAAGCACGAAACUUGCCCCGAGAUGAGUUCUCCCUGACUCCUUGA